rnacentral:rRNA from 1 species
UACGGUAGGUGGCAAGCGUUAUCCGGAAUUAUUGGGCGUAAAGAGCGCGCAGGUGGUUGAUUAAGUCUGAUGUGAAAGCCCACGGCUUAACCGUGGAGGGUCAUUGGAAACUGGUCGACUUGAGUGCAGAAGAGGGAAGUGGAAUUCCAUGUGUAGCGGUGAAAUGCGUAGAGAUAUGGAGGAACACCAGUAGCGAAGGCGGCUCUCUGGACUGUAACUGACGCUGAGGCACGAAAGCGUGGGGAGCAAACAGGAUUAGAUA